AAGUUCUGUAGAUAUCUGUUAGGUCCAUUUGGUUCAUAGUGUUGAUUAACUCUGCUGUUGCCUUGCUGAUUUUCUGUCUGGUUCAUCUGUCCAUUGCUGGAAGUGAGAUGCUGUUGACGGAGUACUUGGAUAUGAAAAACACUCGUACGGCCUCUGAACCGUCAGCUCAGCUAAGCUAUGCCAGUACUGGACGAGAGUUCGCAGCCUUUUUUGCCAAGAAGAAACCUCAAAGGCCAAAAAAUUCCCUUUUCAAGUUUGAAUCCUCCUCCCACGCCAUCAGCAUGAGCGCCUAUUUGCGAGAACAGAGAAGGGAGCUCUAUAGCCGGAGUGGAGAACUUCAAGGGGCCGGUGCUGUGGUGCAGUAGGUUAAUCCUCCUCCUGCAGUGCUGGCAUCCCAUAUCGGUGCGGGUUCUAGUCCUGGCUGCUCCUCUUCUGAUUCAGCUCUCUGCUGAUGGCCUGAAAGAAAAGUAGAAGAUGGUCCAAGUCGUUGGGCCCCUGCAUCCGUGUGGGAGACCCAGAAGAAGCUCCUGGCUCCUUGCUUCCGAUCAGCUCAGUUCUGGCUGUUUAGCCAUUUGGGGAGUGAACCAGUGGAUGGAAGACCUCUCUCUGUCUCUGCCUCUCACUGUCUGUGACUACCUCUCAAAUAAAUAAAUAUUUUUUAAAAAAGAAAAUUGUGUUUUAGCUGUAGUACUCUUCUUGUGUUAGUCUUAUUUUACAGUUGAAUCUAGAAAACAGAUUGAGUACAGAUCGCUUGACCAAGCAGUGUUGAGGGUUCAUAUUCCCACUGUCUUGGGCUGCUGCUCCAUCUCCCUCUUCCUAUUCCUUUGGGUAGGCAUGCAAGGCACCGUUACCAGACCCUGAAGACUCUCAGAAGCAGGUCCCUACACAUGGAAAUUUGGUGUGGGAGGGAGAUGAUGUUACAGAUUUGUAGAAAAGGAAAGCCAAAUCAAUAGAGGUCAUUAAGACAACUGACUACACAUAUGGUUGGCGGUGAGGGGACAGGAUUUUUGUUUCUUAACAUUUAGGAAAAAUAAAGUUUAGCAAAUUGAGAAGUCACAUGUGAAACGCAAAACCUGUUGAGAAGAGUGUUUAUAACCACAGUGCUUCAAUAACAAAAUCCUAGAGACAGUUAAAAUGCCCCAGAAGAGGAGGAUGGGUAUAUAAAUUGUGGACAAGCCAUGUAGUGGAAUACAUGUAGUGAUGAAAGCAAAUGAAAUGUACUAGACAUGGACUUCGUUAGAUUUCAAAUGUAGGCCUUCCAUAAAAGUGUGUGUAUUCCAUUUGCAUGAAUGAAAAGUCAGAAUUAAGCAGAAUUGAAUAGUGUAUAACUUAAGCAUACAUUCAUGUUUAAUGGACAUCUGCAGAAGGUGACAUGGGGGAUAUAAAUAUAAAACUCAGCAACAAGGUCACCCCUGGAAAGAAUGCAGGAGGGGACAAAUAGAGUAGCACAUGAGCCCCGAGUAUUGUUUUUAAGGCUCACUUAUUUGAAAGAAGAGUUACAGAGAGAGAGAGGUCUUUGAUCCGCUGGUUUACCCCCCAAGUGGCGGCAGUGGCCAGAACUGAGCUGUUCGAAGGCAGGAGCCAGGAGCUUCUUCCAGGUCUCCCGUGUGGGUGUAGGGGCAUCCUCUAAUGCUUUCCCAGGUACAUUAGGAGGGAGCUGGACUCGAACCAGUUCCCAUAUGGGAUGCCGGCACUGCAGGCCAGGGCGUUCACGAGCUCUGCCACAGCUGAGGCCCCCAGGCCUCAAAUACUGCAGUUCUGUCCUCUUUUAUAAGCUUAGUCUUGGAAACAGUAUUGUUUUGUUGCUUUUUCUUCAACUGUGCAAGCAUCAUAUAUACAUAUAUGACACAUGUCCCGAAAAGUGCAGACAUUCAUUUAAAGAAAAAAAAAACCUCUCAGGGCUCCAGAAACAAAGACAGUGUGUGUAGUUUAAUGUUCCUGUUUAGAAAUCUUGACCAAGUGUACUCUUCUGUGCCAGUUGGGCUGGUUCUUUGGCUUGCAGGGCUCCACACUGAAGCUGGGAGCUGUCCCUGCGGUAGUGCUGACUGUGUGCCGUGGUUCAGGCGAAGUCAGCGUGUAGUCAGGAGGAGACUUCCCGCUCCUGUACUUGCUCUUACCUCUCCCUUCUUCUCGGUCUAGGAUUUUACAGACCUAGCAGGAUUGGAGGCAGUAGCCACUCUUCUUUUUGUUUCCUGUCUUUUCCAGACUUUAUCUUUACUGAUUGAUCCUCACUAGGCUCUCCUGGUGCAGUCAUGAAUUGAACCAAGGUUUGCCUUUGAAAGACCAACGUCCAGAGAUUGGCACUUGCCACCCAACAAUGGCUCUCCCUAUCUCUAAAUUAAUAGCUCCUUUGGCUUUUGAAUAGGAACAUGGCCACUUGAAUUAACUAACGUUUUAAAGCUUUCCCUGCAGCCGGCCAUGGGCAUGCAGCUUAACUGUGGCCACUAGCAGCUGAGUAAAUUAGCGUAUGUAACAUCAGGUCAUGCUCUUAGAGGAAGAGGGAGGCUUUCCUUCUCUCCCAGCCUAGCACAAGUGAAGCCACAAAUGUCAAAAGAACGCAGCAGCGAGCUGUUGUAGGCCAUGUGGAUGAGUUAGAGCAACAAGAUCAACCAAGUCUGAAUUUCUCUGUAGUGCUGUGCUUUUGAUGCCUCUUGGUCCAAGAUACUAUCUCAGCUCAGACUCCUUAAUAAAAGAGGAGUAAACUCUGCCUUGUUAAGUCACCAGUGUUUCAAUUCUGUUAUAUCCAAUGCUGCUCAUAGCAUAAUGAUUUCAUUAUGUCAACAGCUGAUAAUGGCACCACGACUCACAUGGUGACAGAGUUGUGCAUGGGCAACUAGGAUGCAUGAACGCAUGUUGGAGAGGCAGAGAGAGGCUUCCACAGAUGUUUAAAGGGCGUAAGUUCAGUUAUAAAACAUGGAGAGAGAGAGGUCAGGCAUUGGGCACAGAAUAGAUAAACAUGUGAAAUAUGAAUAUAGGCUAUUCUCUCAGAGUUUCAGAAUGUUUAUCAGAUAUAAAUUUUCUAUAAAGGAUGUUUAUAUUAAGUGUAUAUAUACACAGAUACACAUAUCUACAUACAUACCUAUACUGGUUAUAAUCUGUUAUUUCCAGCAACCAGAAAUAGAAAAGAGACCCAACUUAUCUUGCUUGAAUGGUUUUGCCGUUUGUUCAUCUUAACAACUAAGAGAUCAAGAACUGCAAAGAACUAGUGAUGUAGUUGUGAUAAAAGGGACGAUAAAUCACUACAACUGAGCAAAAGCUAAAUGCCCUCACAUGGUGGAUUGUUUUGGAGUGGUGUCCAAGUGGUAUAGCCAUGCAACUUUAUUAAAAUUCCUGUAGGAAAAGCAGCGAAGCUUUCAGCAUAGCUAUCACAGCAUCGAGCUCUGUUAGAGUCUGCAUGAGAGAUGAGAUUGGGAAUAUUGGCAGGGACCAAAUCGUGAACUAUGUACCCCUAAGGACCAACCUAUUUUAGAGUUCCUUGGGUUAAUCUGCGAGUGUGCAGAUUGAGCCACCGCAGGUGACGGCAAGUUGGUUCUCUGUGGAGAUUCUAGAGUUCCAUGUGUGCACAUCUGAUUUCUAACUUCUAAUUCUGGUGUGGGUGAAAACAAGCAUCAAGUUACUUUUGGCUUCCCCACAACUUGAAACUUGCAAAACCUAUAUUAUAGUAAUAUGCGAUGGCAUUAUGGAUGCUCCAUGAAUAUUGUAAUAGUCAUAAUAUAGGAUGUUCAUUCCUAGAAUUGUGAUGACAUCUACUGAAUUCCAGCCAGUAGAUUUGCAUAUUCAUGACCACUUAACUCAAAUACGUCCCUGUUUGUUUGCACAUUAAUGUCUGAUUUCAGCACCAGUUAACUAAUUUACAUAUCCCUGUUCAGUUGGUUAGUGAUGUUCAUCUAUGGAAUGUUGGUACAGCUCUGUUUGCGCUUUGAGUGGCUUGGGGGAAUAUCAUGAUUUAAUGGAAGGAGCACCUGUUACUCAACCUACCUGCACUGUACAAAUCUAACUUGAACUUUCUGAGCUCCAAAUACCUCAUCUAUUUAAUGAGGUUAACAGCACUUGGCCUGCCUACUUCUUAGGGUUGCUGUGUCAGGUGACACUGGAGACGAUUGUGUAUGGUCAACAUUUCUAGGCCGGCUGUAUUCUGGGCCCUGCUUGUAGAACAUCUCCCGCAUGAGGAGGCACUCUAGGUGCUAUCAGAGACAAAACGAACCAACAGUUACAGUUCUAGUAAAUAUUUUAAGUGCUUUGGGGUGCAUGGAGGUGAAAACACUGAACGUUUCCUGGGGGAAGUCAUAGAAGGUACUACAAAGGCAGAAUCUUUAUCAUGACUUGGAAAGAUGACUUAAUCAGACUGAACCAGGGGAGGGAACUCUGCAAGCAGGGAAAUGAGGGUGUACAUCCAUGUACAGGUGUUUCAUGCAACUGUAGGCUUUUUGCUACGGUUGAAACAUGGAGUAUAUGGGGCAGAUUAAUCUACGUAAGGGGGACACAUAGGCAGAUUUUAGAGGACCUGGUGUAGAUGAAACGGAAUUUGUUCUUGGGGUGAUAGGAUUCCUCCAAGGGGUUUAAAGCAGGAGAAUGACAUAAUCAAAUGUGAAUUAUAGAAAAAAAAAUCUUCUGAUGUCUGCUUGGAGGAUGAAUUGAGUAUAAUGAGAUUGGAAGCAAGGAGGCAAGUUGUGUUGUUAUUUCAGGUAGGAGCCUACAGAAGAUGAUGCCAGCUUUUUCAGAGAGGGUGGAAGAGAUCCAAAAGCUAAUUUGGAGGUAGAAUCAAUUGGGCGUGAUAUUCUGUGAAGGGUUUGAGCAAGAGAUACGCGUUUUGGCUGAUUCCCAGUUUUCCAAUCUGGUGACUUGGGUGGGAUAUAAUGAUAUUUGUUAAGAUAGGCGAUACCAAAACAGGAGUUGUUUUUAUGGAGUGUAACAUAGGGGUGUAGGUAGCUUUUUUAGCAUAUAUUUUCUAAUUUUUUCUGCUAGUUUCAUAUCUAGCUAAUCUAAUAUAAUUUUGACAGUCUACUGUAUCAUUUUUUCCCUUAACUUUAAGGUUGUGAUUAUCCAUAAUUAUUUUCCUUCCUUGGUCCAGAAUAUUGGAGUUUUUCCCUCUUCUUGUAUUUUUAAAUUCAGAAUAUCACUUUUCUUAUUCCUAGGCUUUGGGUAAUGUAUUCAUUUUAGUACCCAUUUUAGUCUCUGAAGAACAUGAAUUUUAAAGCUAUUAUUCAUUGAUGUAUAUUGUAUUUUUAUUAUUAAAAUCAAGCUAUCUGUGAUUUUGUGCAAGUAUGUCCAGUUUUCUUAAAAGAUGUAUCUAUUUACUUGAAAUAGUUAGAGAAAUAGAGAUAGAUCCUCUAUCCACUGGUUCACUCCCCAAAUGACAGCAAAGGCUGAGACUGGGCCAGGCUGAAGUCAGGAGCCCAGGACUCCACCUGGAUCUCAUACGUGGGUGGCAGUGAACCAGGCCCUGGGGCCAUCUUCCACUGCUUCACCAGUUGCAUUAGCAGGGAGCUAGAUUGCAUGUAGAGGAGCUGGGACUCAAACUGGUGCUCCUAUUGGAUGCUGGAGUUGCAGGCUGCGGCUUCACCCACUGCACCAUAACGGCAGCCCCACCAUGUCCAGUUUUCUGAGAUGUGAAGGGACACAGUUGAAUAAUUUCUGUGAAUGUCUUCAGUCUUGGAAACUCCAGGUUCUUGGAUUCUCAGCCACGUGCUCCCCAUCUGUUCCUCAGAGCACAGUCAGUGGACUAGUUUGAGGACUAGUCGGAAGGGCAGAGUGCGGUCCCUGGAGUCAGACUCAACUAACGAGUGAUUGGGAUUGAUUAAUUUCUCUGUGUGGCGUUCCUUUUCUGUGAACUGUGGGGGUAAUAUACCUUAAUUGCACGGGGCCAUCAGGAGGAUGAUGUGAGUUAACACAGGAAAUAUCUUUAGAAUUGUGCCCUACACGUGUUAAACACUGAAUAAAUGUAAUUGAUUUUUUUUUCUGUUACUCCCAGCACCCGGCAACAUUCUGCGAAGAGAGGAGGUACUCACUAAAUGUCUUUUUAAAAUUAAUGCAUGAAGAAGCACAUCAAGAGAAAAGUGGAUUCAAUAUGCCUCCUUGAAUACUCCCUGGAAACUCUGUUUUAAACUCUUUUUCUCAUUUCUCCUUUUAACAAAAGUCGUUCAGAGUAGGGAGAACAUGUGUUCAUCUCCGCGUUGUAUUGGCGAGAGGCAUCAAGUGAGAGUCUGGGUGGAUGUGUGUCGACGUCUGGUGAAGCAGAGCCACACCUGGUGGCUUUGUGCAGGUUUUCUCUCCCUGGCCUGUAGCUGCCCUAGAGGUGAAUCUCAUGGCAUAAUGAACGUGGCUGUUUUCUCCUCAAAAGCAUUUGGUCUUCAGGGUCAGGGUCACUGAUUCUGAAUUUGACUCACCAAAUACUUGAGAAUGGUUAGAAUAUGGAACAUAAAGGGAUAAAAUGGGAAAAGGACAUCUCUCGGCUUAUGAAUUACAUCGGAGUGCUUCUGUGCUGUUUUAUAUAUUUGAAGUUCUGCCUUCCUCUUGCUUCUAGUUUGAAAUCACUUCUUUGCUGCUUGCGAAAACAGAAGUAAAAAGAAAAGUUGAACUCCAUUUCAUGGCUUACUAACAGUUCUUAACCUAAAAAUGUUAGAGCUAACCGUUGUUCCAAAUGAUUAACAUAGGGGCCGGCCCUGUGGUGUAGUAGGUUAAGCUUCUGCCUGUGGCUCUGACAUCCUGUAGGAGUGCAAGUUUGAGUCUUGGCUGCUCCACUUCUAAUCCAGCUCUCAGCUCAUUCCCUAGAAAAUCAGUGGAAGAUGGCCCAAGUUCUGCCACCCAAGUGGGAGACCUGGAUGAAGCUCCUGGCUCCUGGUCUCAGAUCGGCCUAGCUCCAGCCAUUGCAGCCAUUUGGCGAGUGAUCCAGAGUAUGGAAGACCUCUCUGUCUGUCUGUCUCUCUCUCUGUAAUUCUGUCUCUCAAAUAAAUCUUAAAAAAAAAAAAAAA